GACGAACGCUGGCGGCGUGCUUAACACAUGCAAGUCGACAUGAGUGGCGAACGGGUGAGUAAUACGUGGGUAACCUGCCCUCCUUUUUGGGAUAAGCCUUGGAAACGGGGUCUAAUACCGAAUAAAGGGGGAUGGGCACGCGGCCUAUCAGCUUGUUGGUGGGGUGAUGGCCUACCAAGGCGGUGACGGGUAGCCGGCCUGAGAGGGUGACCGGCAACAAGGGGACUGAGAUACGGCCCAGAGUGCUAGGGGGGGGAGAGGUGGGGGAAAGUACACAAGGGGCGAAGGCCUGAUGCAGGGACGCCGAGUGGGGGAUGAAGGCUUUCGGAUUGUAAACCUCUUUCGCUGUCGAACCGGUAAGUGGAGAAAAAGCGCCGGCUAACUACGUGCCAGCAGCCGCGGUAAUUC
rnacentral:rRNA from 1 species